rnacentral:rRNA from 1 species
ACAGAGGCCUCGAGCGUUAGGCGGAAUCACUGGGCUUAAAGCGCGUGUAGGCGGGCCGGCACGUCGGUCGCUGAAAGCCCCCGGCUCAACCGGGGAAGCGGCGCCGAUACGACCGGCCUGGAGGGGGGUAGGGGGCGCCGGAACGGCCGGUGGAGCGGUGAAAUGCGUUGAGAUCGGCCGGAACGCCCGUGGCGAAAGCGGGCGCCUGGACCCCGCCUGACGCUGAGACGCGAAAGCCAGGGGAGCGAACGGGA